UACGGGGGGUGCGAGCGUUGUCCGGAAUCACUGGGCGUAAAGGGCGCGUAGGUGGCGUCGUAAGUCUGUGGUGAAAGCCCGGAGCUCAACUCCGGGUCUGCCGCGGAUACUGCGAGGCUUGAGUGCUGUAGAGGGGGGUAGAAUAUCGGGUGUAGCGGUGGAAUGCGUAGAGAUCCGAUAGAAGACCGGUGGCGAAGGCGGCCCCCUGGGCAGUAACUGACACUGAGGCGCGACAGCGUGGGGAG
rnacentral:rRNA from 1 species